AUUGAACGCUGGCAGCAUGCCUUACACAUGCAAGUCGAACGGUAACAGGUCUUCGGAUGCUGACGAGUGGCGAACGGGUGAGUAAUACAUCGGAACGUGCCCGAUCGUGGGGGAUAACGAGGCGAAAGCUUUGCUAAUACCGCAUACGAUCUACGGAUGAAAGCGGGGGAUCUUCGGACCUCGCGCGGACGGAGCGGCCGAUGGCAGAUUAGGUAGUUGGUGGGAUAAAAGCUUACCAAGCCGACGAUCUGUAGCUGGUCUGAGAGGAUGAUCAGCCACACUGGGACUGAGACACGGCCCAGACUCCUACGGGAGGCAGCAGUGGGGAAUUUUGGACAAUGGGCGAAAGCCUGAUCCAGCCAUGCCGCGUGCAGGAUGAAGGCCUUCGGGUUGUAAACUGCUUUUGUACGGAACGAAAAGCCUCUUUCUAAUAAAGAGGGGUCAUGACGGUACCGUAAGAAUAAGCACCGGCUAACUACGUG
rnacentral:rRNA from 1 species